GGUUCCAGCCCCCACUAUGGAUUGUCUUAAAUUUUCAACUUCCUCUUCUAGUUCUAUCUUUUUCAGCAGCAUAUUCUGAAACAUCCGGUAGAAUCGCCAGCGCUCGUCCUCCGACUCUUGAAGCCUCCUCCUCAAGACCUCAGACUCUGCCUCAGCAUCCUUGACUGCCUGCCGUUCAUGGACCAACUGAACUUUCAGCCACCGUAAUUCAGCUUC
rnacentral:lncRNA from 1 species